rnacentral:lncRNA from 1 species
CCUCCUCCUCUCUCCCCCUGCCUCCUCCCUCCUCCCUCCAUAUGCCUAAUAGGGUCAGGAACUGUUGUCAGAGAGGAAGUGUUGCGCAAUGUAGAUCACACUCCCCCUGGAUUUAUGACCAUUGCUGGCCAGGCAGAACACCCUGCUGGCCAUUAAAGAGCCAUUUAUUCUCCCCUCAGAGGAAGAGAGAGACAGAGGGAACAGAGGUGAGGAGGCCUGCAAGGGGUGGACUGGCCAUCUGGCAUUUUGGGCAAAUGCCAGAUGGGCUGGUCCAUUUUUAGCCUAGUGGGCCUGUCUAGCUAAAUGGGCUGGUGUGAAGGCCUCGGGGGAAAAGAAUUGGCCGGUGUAGGGGCAUCACCAAUUUUUUUGUUUGUUGAAAUGCCAGAGCUGAUUUCUGAUCCCAGUCCGCCCCUGAGGCCUGCUCUGGCCUUAAUACCUCUGGAAGCACACAGACCCAACCAGAACUGGAACUGACUCUUCUUUCCUCAGAGAAAUCACACUCUAUGAAACCUUGACUGGGUAAAUUGACAGAGAACGCCACUACGUUCCCUCUCUUCUCCCUCAAAGAGUCUCAAACCCAUCAUUGUCUUGACCUAGGUGUGCGAAAUCUGUUGAAAAUGUUGGUUGAUGAUUGACUCAAGGAGGGGCGAGGCUUGAGGUCGAGGGUGUCCUAAAAUAUGCACUGUAAUACGUGCAGUGACUCAACAGUGGUUGCUGUUCAAACGCUACUGCUACUCUCUGUUCAUCAUAUAUGCAUAGUCACUUUAACCAUAUCUACAUGUACAUACUACCUCAAUCAGCCUGACUAACCGGUGUCUGUAUGUAGCCUCGCUACUUUUAUAGCCUCGCUACUGUUUUUCACUGUCUUUUUACUGUUGCUUUUAUUUCUUUACUUACCUAUUGUUCACCUAAUACCUUUUUUGCACUAUUGGUUAGAGCCUGUACGUAAGCAUUUCACUGUAAGGUCUACACCUGUUGUACUCGGCGCACGUGACAAAUAAACUUUGAUUUGAUUUGAUUUGAAACACACAACCUAACAUUAUCUACAGAUGACUAACCCUGAGUGCUCAAGGCUAGCUGAGAGCAGCGCGAGGGGAAGCAUGUGCUCAAGCAUGGACCACCAACCUAGGGGAGGCUCUCUAUAAUAAGUAGUGGUGAUUGAUGUCAGUAUGCACUGUGGAGGUGAAACAUUUGCAGCUGUAGGGUGAAAAGAAUAUCAUGAACAAGGUCGUACAGUUUGUGUAGUGAUAAGGUUGCUCUUGUGAAAUUAUAUUGUCUGUCUGUAGCCAAAUCAUAACCUUUUUGCCUUUUGGGAUCAGUGAAGUAUAUUCAUUUUACCGUAGUGAUUUAGCUUGUUCCUUGAGAGUCUAAAAUCUGUACUUUAAGAAUACAGUUUAAGCUACAGUUGUAAUUGGAUAUACAGCUGCUAGUGCAAUAUUUUUGGCUCUUCAAAAGUUGUGGUUUGUGGUGCAUUCUUCCUCCUGUUAAUAACCACUCUAACCUUCAUCCAGGAAACCCGCUUCCCUGCAGCAAAUACCAUUGGUGAGUGAUCCACUGCAGAUCCACUGAAAUGUGACUGGUAUUUAGCCCAUUGUGCCUCAAAGUUGUUACUGCAGGCACGUUCCAGAGGAGAGUACAGUCAGUGAAUGACUAUGUGCCUGCCCAAACCCAGAGUGGUAACCUGAGGCUCCUUUGCCAGCCCUGAUUGCCCAGGAAGGAGCCGGGGGCAUUCCAGCUUCUCCGUCCUGGAAUAUCAGACCUCAAGAGGAUCCUUUCCACCAACUCCUGGUUGCCAAGAAUCCUCUGGAUUGAUAAACAAACUGUAGGCCUCUGGGAAUUGGAAAAGAGGUGUAGCUUGGAUGGAAUGGAUGGAAAAGCACAGCCACUUUAGUUCUGCCCUUUGGUGUUAUCGUAGUCUGAAUAGAGGUGGCUGUGGAAAGCCAUUACUUUUAUUAAAAAACAGCUCUACAGAAGUGACAUCAUUAAGGGCUGGGGGAUGUUGUAGGCCAUUUGAGUCCCGGUUUGUGGUCUGGGUUAAACCAAGGGGGAUGUACGGUUGUCAGUUGGACUAUUAAACAAUGCAGUGUUUUAUAUUGUGUUUAUUGCCAUCUGACUUGGGAGAUGUUCUGCAGUAAAAUGGAACGAAUUGAUGGACAGUUAAAUGUGAACUCGUUAUUGUGUGUCAUCCUCCAUUUCUCCCAUUUCCAGUUUUAUUACACUGUACAAAAGUUAUGUAAACCAGUUUACUCAGAUCCCAGGGUGCAGAGUACACUGGGUAUAUCAAACAUCUGGACACCUUCCUAAUAUUGAGUUGCCCCCCCCCAGAACAGCCUCAAUUCGUCGGGGCAUGGACUCUACAAGGUUUUGAAAGCGUUCCACAGGGAUGCUGGCCCAUGUUGACUCCAAUGCUUCCCACAGUUGUGUCAAGUUGGCUGGAUGUCCUUUGGGUGUUGGACCAUUCUUGAUACACAAAAACCCAGCAGCGUUGCAGUUCUUAACACAAACUGGUGUGCCUGGCACCUACUACCGUACCCCAUUCAAAGGCACUUAAAUCUUUUGUCUUGCCCAUUCGCCCUCUGAAUGGUACACAUACACAAUCCAUGUCUCAAUUGUCUCAAGGCUUAAAAAUCCUUCCUUAACCUUCUUUAAGUCUCCUCUACGUCAUCUACACUGAUUGAAGUGGAUUUAACAAGUGACAUAAAUAAAGGAUCACAGCUUUCACCUGGAUUCCCCUGGUCAGUCUGUGUCAUUGAAAGAGCAGGUGUUCCUAAUGUUUUGUCCACUCAGUGUAUAACAAUUCGUCUGGUCAGUCUAUUUCAUGGAAAGAGCAGAUUUCCUUAAUAUUUUGUAUACUCAGUGUAUAACAAUUCAGCUGGUCAGUCUAUAUCGUGAAAAGAGCAGGUGUUCUUAACGUGUUGUCCACUCAGUGUAUAACAACUAUGCCAUGUUUAUAUUAAAAGAAUAUUCUGAAAAUGAUACAAUUACUCACCAAUUGUGAACCCCUUUCAUGUUAUUCAACUCUCUUUUUCACAGAUCGUGAGCAUUAUGCUGGCAUUAGAUAGAUCCGUGAAAUCACCAUUCUAUUUUACACCUCAACACAAGCCAAGUAGUGUUACCAAUGGUGUUGGCCAGGCUCCCGCUGUUGCUUCUGCUGCAUAGAAGAUGUAGCAUUAAUAUUACGUUUCUUCCAUCUCGAUCUGCUUUUUAAUUACUCUCACCUCACAGCAGCAGCCCAUGGCUUUAGGGCCAGAUUAGAUUUCAAAUGAGCCAACUCUGUUUGAGGUUUCACGCUUUCACACAUUGGUUCUAGUCACAGUGUGCUGUCCCCAGAGGUUUCUAUGCGACUUCUGUGACUAUGUAAUAUGUCAUGGAAAUUAAAUGCGGGUUAACUACUUUGGUAAGAAAAAGUUCAGAAUUGUACUGGAAAUUUUUAUUUGUAGGUUAAUAUGGAUGAAACAUUCUCUGUCCUUAGAAAGUGACAGCCUACAGCUUUCCUUUUAAAGGACAAGCUUUAAUUCUUUAUCUGUAACUCCCUCUCCCUCUCUCUCUCUCUCUCUCUCUCUUUGUCCCUCUUUCUAUCUCUCCCUCUCGUUCUCAUUCUCUCCGUCUUUCUCCCUCUCGUUCUCAUUCUCUCCCUCUUUCUCUCUCUCUCGCUCUCAUUCUCUCCCUCUUUCUCUCUCUCUCUCAUUCUCUCCCUCUUUCUCCCUCUCUUUGUCCCUCAGGACUCUCCACAGCUGUUCUAAAGUGGUGCUUAUUCAUUCGUUCCCAGCAUCUGUUUGCAGUCCGUCAAGGUCAGCUAACUUAACAGGCCAAAAACAGCGACUCUUCUUCAUCAUCUAUUUGUUUAUGCAGAGGACCAUCAAAACAACUGCAGUGCAGGUGUGUUGACCCGUGCAUACAUUACAGUGUGCAUACUGUCAUAAUAGUUUGCAUGUUGUCACAACAACAUGGGGGUGUUUUCCAGCCAUGUUUCCAGUCAUUUGGCCCGCUCACCGUGGUAGCCGUUGAAAUGCCCGUUGUUUAAUGGCUGCUACUAGCUUUGUUAGUCUGUGUUUUGACAAGCCAGUGUUUGAAUACUGGGAAUGGAUAGAGGCAGGAACUUCAGGCCUGAGUUUUCCCCUUCAGGCCAGAGAAUGAGAGGACAAUGGUGUGAAGGGUGAACCCAGCUUUAACACAGCCCCACCCUUCAGGAAACAGCUAUUUAGCUGUGGAAGACUAAAUGCUGAGAAAACGAUUCAAUAUCUAAAACAAUAUCACAAUAUUAUACCGUACAAUAUCUAUUCAAUACUGUGUGAAGCAGUAUUCUCCUGGUGUGGAAACGGUCUUACAAACCAGUGCAUGUGUGUAAGAAGAAUGAAAACACACAUGGUAUAGAAGCAUUGAAAAGACCUUUGAUUCAGUUCCUCAAUGUAAGGAAAAUAUGCUGAUGCUUCUGGGGUGUUUUUGCAGUAAAAUGGAGCGAAUUGAUGGGCAGUUGAACGUGAACUACUGCACAAAACAUAAUUGGCACGUUAUGUAACUAUGCAUCUGCUCUUCAAAGAAUUGCAUUUUUUCCAAGUGAUUAUACCUCCUUUUACUUUGACAAUGAAGGGUGGACAAAUAGUCAUCUGUUUGGAAAUAACAUACGUUUAGCAAAUUCAACGCAAAUGGGAAGUGAGGACAUCAAAUUGCACCUAUUUUGUGCACACAGCACUUUAAUCCAAUUUUAAAAGCUUUUCAGACAUUUUUGUGAAAGAACAUAGAGUACUAGAUGUAUUGGUUCAUUGAGGACAGUUUACUUAUAAAAAUUACCAGUUGAAAGAUGUUCAGAGUGAAAGAUGUUCUUCUGAUUAAGCUAGCAGACCCUUUGUGGUAAUAGUGUUCUGUGGGUAGAGGUAAUUUCAGGCCAUGGGAAAUGUCCUGCUGUCUGCGGUUCAGAGACAUAUUCGAUGGGAGAACACAAUUAAUAUGGUCUCGGUCCCAAAUGGCACCCUAUUCCCAACAGUAUAUAGUGCACUACCCUAUGGGCCCUCCUGGUAAAAAGUUGUGCACUAUGAAGGAAAUUGGGUGCCAUUUGUGAUGCAGCCGUGGUCAGACAUCAGUGUAGCAGGAGAGUGAGUCAUUGGCUGUUAUGUCACAGAUACAUUUAAGCUUUAAAUAGGCAAGUCAGUUAAGAAAAAAUUAUUAUUUACAAUGACAUUGAUUCAACCAGUGUGUACCCAGUGGUUCGGUUCAAUUGUGAUAAGUGGCAGACGGUGCAAAAAUACUGUUGUACAAUACAUAACGGCUCAUAUAAUACCCAAUCUCAUAAUGGUGCUUGUGUACGCGCACGGGUGUGUGAUUAGGCAGUGGUGAUUAGUUCGAUACUGAGGACCACUUCACCACUUCCUCUUAAUUCUGAAGGUAAGUGUCUAUGAUGACCUCAUGACCUUAUUUAUUUGCACACAAAAGAUGACAGAUGACCUUUGACGAUGUCAUCUCCACAUUGAAUGUCAUACAAACACAGACUCCAUCACCACAGUUUUUCUGACAUGUUUCUAUGGAUGAAACACAGAACGAGCAAGCACUUUUCUUCAAAACCAUUUUUAGUGAGUAAUUGACAAAGCAGAAAUAUCCAGUAUCUUUGAGAACAUCCCCUCCCCUCCCCCCACCUUCCACCGUCAUCACCGUCACCACCAUGCAAAACACGAUUGCGUUUCUGUGGAAACAGAGACUAGGGCACUUCACACCGAUAACAUGUGCAGCUGUGCUACGUGAUGCCCAAAUGGGUCGCCAUGGCAACGUAUAACAUCCACAUUAUGUACAAAAAGGACACUUAGUGCCGCUUUCGUUGAUGCCCUAUAAUAAUAUUAAUCAGAUUCAACCCAUUCAAAACAUUUGGACGAGCAAAGAUUGGUCUUGAUUUCAUCUGAUGUCAGUAUGACAUCAUUUAUUUGUAUAAUAUAAAAUAUGAGACUGUUGUUUGAAGUCUGGAUGUUACAUCCAACACAGAGAAGACCACAGUCCGUGCUACGGUGUACAUUUUAGGUUACCCUCAGCCUCAACACAAUUGACUCAAGAAGGGGUGAGACUUGAGGCUGAGGGUGUCCUAAAAUGGAUACCGUACACCGCAGUCAUUCCAUACUGAGUGGGCUGCCUCCCUGACCUCCUGCAUUCCUGCAUAUGUCAGAUGAGCUCGCUGGGACUCAACCCUCUUCUGUUCCUUUUGAACUGAGGACUUGUCCAAGGCUGUCUGUUCCACCUACCUGACCACGAGGACCUUUUGUUGUUUGUUAUUUAUCACACUAUAGAUGGCCUAAUAGACAAGUGACAUGCAAAUUCAUUGCCAUGUGACCCUCCAAUGGGCUUAGCUUCUUAAACUAUAAAUAGCUGCUGGAGUGCUGGUUUGGAUAGUGUAAAGUACAUGUUCUGACUGUACUCCUCCUUUACUACAGUGACUGUUCUGUCAAAUCUCUUUGGCUACACUAUCUGCAGUAUCUGCCUGGUUGCAUCUCAGCCGCUACAUGAAGUGAAUAUGAAGUAAUGAUUUUGGCUGUAAUUGCCUACAGAUUGCCACAGAGGUCAUGAAAAGACAGUCUUCUAUGUACUCCUAGCCAACUGAUUUGACAAUGUGUUGAGCCACAGCAGCUGUUCCAGAGGUAGCUGGUAGGUCAUGGUAGACUCAUCGGGGGUACGAUAUCAUUAAACUCAAUGUGUCUGAUGUGUCUGGGUGAGGGAGUGUGCUGUAAUAAACUCAAAAGCCUUUGAUAUCCUAUCCUCUCCUUAUGUGCCCUAGGGGGCAGCAGUGGAUGGAUAGGCACUUGAUAAGGAUCAGAAAGAAUUAGAUAGGCCAGGUAGAAUUGGUUUUAUAUUGCCUGGGCUGGGGGUAAGGGGCUAGUGGUCAUUUUUGAACGGGACCGAUAUGUUGUUUUAGCUGAGACAGAUGAGAAAUAUGGCCGCUCAAGAGAGACUGCUGGGUAAUCGGAUCAUGCGACCAUGAAAUGGAGCAGAGUUGAGUGUCAGCACACUGGGUGGUCUCCAGAGUGGACUCUGUUUGUCUAUCUGUCUGGUCUCUGUCUGUCUGUCUAGUCUCUCUCUGUUCGUCUGUCUGGCCUCUGUCUGUUCGCCUAUUCUGUCUGUCUGACUGUAAGUUGCUUUGGAUAAAAGCUUAUUCUAAAUGGUAUAUAUUAUUUUAUAUUAUUUCUGUCUGUCUGUCUGUCUGUCUGUCUGUCUGUCUGUCUGUCUGUCUGUCUGUCUGUCUGUCUGUCUGUCUGUCUGUCUGUCUGUCUGUCUGCCUGCCUGCCUGCCUGCCUGCCUGCCUGCCUGCCUGCCUGCCUGCCUGCCUGCCUGCCUGCCUGCCUGCCUGCCUGCCUGCCUGCCUGUCUGUCUGUCUGUCUGUCUUGCUCUCUCACUACAUUGUUAUGUAAAAGGCUAUCAAUUUAUAAAACGAAUCAGUGUUUUUCUUUAUUCCCUCCCAGUAUACUGAUCCAGUAGGCUCAGUCCGUCUGGUCCUUUGGGAACACCUCCAGGAGCUUGGACUACAGAUGAAUAAUUUCUCCUGAUGGGUUAUUAGUCUACUCUGUGUUUAAUUAUCCCUAGCUAUAUUUAUGUUCUCUCACCAGCGGUUUGUUUAUUACACCUUAGAAGAGGAAACAUUGGCCGUUCAAUGUGUGCACUGGGUUUAUAAUUAUGAGUUGAAUCGAUAUCCUGAGUUUUCAAACAAUGUUUUUUUCUGCUGAUCUUUUACCAGAUUCAGUCCGAUCGCUCUUGUAGACAAUGCAGCUUUUAAAGGAAAUGUUACCACGUAUGCAGAGAUCACAUUCAAGGUAAAUGCUGCAGAUGUCGGCUCAAUUUGAAAUUACCUUUAAAUUACGAGGUUUGGGAUUGAAUUCAGGCAUAAAUUAACAUCCAUGACUCAUCACAACACAACACUGAUGACAUACAUUACAGUAGAUUCACAGUACAUGUACUGUAACUAUAUGUAGAUAUUGAAUGAGCAGAACAGAUAUGCUCCCCCCUGUAGGGAAUUGUUUUAAAAUGGUCAGAAAAUGUAUCAUUUAGCUAUUUGAUUUAAAAUUUUAGGACACCUGUAGGUAUAAAAAAAUUAUUUGAUAAAACAUUGAAUUUGGGCUUUACUUCUAUAGCCCAUAGAAAAGUGUAGAAUAAAACAUUCAUAAAUGGCAAAACAGAAAGUCAAAAAAUAAAUCAUAAGGAAGAAGGUUUUGAAGUGUCUGUCCUAUAUCUGAGAGAUAUAAGAUAUACAGUUGAAGUUGGAAGUUUACGUACACCUUCGCUAAAUACAUUUAAACUCAGUUUUUCACAAUUCCUGACAUUUAAUCUUAGUAAAAAUUCCCUGUCUUAGGUCAGUUAGGAUCACCACUUUAUUUUAAGAAUGUGAAAUGUCAGAAUAAUAGUAGAGAGAAUUAUUUAUUUCAGCUUUUAUUUCUUUCCUCACAUUCCCAAUGGGUCAGAAGUUUACAUACAGUCAAUUAGUAUUUGGUAGCAUUGCCUUUAAAUUGUUUAACUUGGGUCAAACGUUUCGGUUAGCCUUCCACAAGCUUCCCACAAUAACUUGCGUGAAUUUUGGCCCAUUCCUCCUGACAGAGCUGGUGUAACUGAGUCAGGUUUGCAGGCCUCCUUUCUCACACAUGCUUUUUCAGUUCUGCCCACAAAUUGUCUAUAGGUUUGAGGUCAGGGCUUUGUGAUGGCCACUCCAGUACCUUGACUUUGUUGUCCUUAAGCCAUUUUGCCACAACUUUGGAAGUAUGCUUGGGGUCAUUGACCAUUUGGAAGACCCAAGCUUUACCUUCCUGACUAAUCUUUUGAGAUGUUGCUUCAAUAUAUCCACAUAAUUGUCCUUCCUCAUGAUGCCAUCUAGUUUGGGAUGUGCACCAGUGCCUCCUGCAGCAAAGAACCCCCACAACAAUAUGCUGCCACCCCCGUGCUUCAUGGUUGGGAUGGUGUUCUUCGGCUUGCAAGCCUCCCCCUUUUUCCUCCAAACAUAACAAUCGUAAUUAUGGCCAAACAGUUCUAUUUUUGUUUCAUCAGACCAGAGGACAUUUCUCCAAAAAGUACAAUCUGUAGUCUGGCUAUUUAUGACGGUUUUGGAGCAUUGGCUUCUUCUUUGCUGAGCGGCCUUUCAGGUUAUGUCGAUAUAGGACUCGUUUUACUGUGGAUAGAGAUACUUUUGUACCUGUUUCCUCCAGCAUCUUCACAAGGUCCUUUGCUGUUGUUCUGGAAUUGAUUUGAACUUUUCGCACCAAAGUACAUUAAUCUCUAGGAGACGCGUCUCCUUCCUGAGCGGUAUGACGGCUGUGUGGUCCCAUGGUGUUUAUACUUGCAUACUAUUGUUUGUACAGAUGAACGUGGUACCUUCAGGUGUUGGAAAUUGCUCCCAAGGAUGAACCAGACUCGUGAAGGUCUACAACUUUUUUUUAGGUCUUGGCUGAUAUCUUUUGAUUUUCCCAUGAUGUCAAGCAAAGAGGCACUGAGUUUGAAGGUAGGCCUUGAAAUACAUCCACAGGUACACUUCCAAUUUACUCAAAUUAUGUCAGUUAGCCUAUCAGAAGCCUCUAAAGCCAUGACAUCAUUUUCUUUAUUUUUCCAAGCUGUUUAAAGGCACAAUCAACUUAGUGUAUGUAAACCUUCUGACCCACUGGAAUUGUGAUACAGGGAAUUAUAAGUGAAAUAAUCUGUCUGUAAACAAUUGUUGGAAAAAGUAGAUGUCCUAACCGACUUGCCAAAGCUAUAGUUUGUUAACAAGAAAUGUGUGGAGUGGUUACAAAACAAGUUUUAAUGACUCCAACCUAAGUGUAUGUAAACUUUCAUGUUUGGUCACACUAUUUUUUGGAACAUUUGACCCUUUAUGCACUUUUUGCAAUUUUUACAGCUUGGUACUGAGUCACCUUCAGAUGACAACCCUGAGUCUUGUGUGCAUUGUAAACAGAACAACCAACAACUUCGUGUUCGUGAGAGUUUCCCAUUUCGAUAUCGGUUUGUAACUCACAUGGUUCAGUCUGGACAGUUGGUUUGGUGAGAAGACCUCUUCGAAAUGAGUACAUUCGCAACAGAGAGUUCAGAUGACGGCUGUAAGCUUGUCGAUGUCGUAGAGCCAAACAACCGACACUGUCAUGUUUGUGAGAGUCUCCCCUUUCGAUAGCUCACACGGUUCGGGUUUUACAGAUGAUUUCUUGACAAUUUUCUUGUCCAGAUGCUCUCAUGCAGGAAAAGUUCACUUUCACGAGCCCCAUGUUAUGGAAUAGGCACAAACUUUAUAUGGGGAAAAAGGGGAUUGCGCUCCAAACACUACAAGAAAGGGUAAGUCAUUAGAAUAAACACAGGGAGCUAUUCAAUAUUCAAAAUGAUGUCACCUUGUGAUGGACGGGUGCAUCAAUCGGCUCUAGGGGUUUUUAAAAGGCAUUGAGAGAGUGUGAUCUUCCAUCCGUGGUAUAUAAAAUGAAUGACUUUGUCAGAUAUGGAGCGCUGCUGCUGGAAUUGCUCUGAACCCAAGAGGAGAACUG